rnacentral:rRNA from 1 species
GUGGGGAAUCUUAGACAAUGGGGGAAACCCUGAUCUAGCCAUGCCGCGUGAGCGAUGAAGGCCUUAGGGUUGUAAAGCUCUUUCAGCUGGGAAGAUAAUGACGGUACCAGCAGAAGAAGCCCCGGCUAACUCCGUGCCAGCAGCCGCGGUAAUACGGAGGGGGCUAGCGUUGUUCGGAAUUACUGGGCGUAAAGCGCGCGUAGGCGGACCAGAAAGUUGGAGGUGAAAUCCCAGGGCUCAACCUUGGAACUGCCUUCAAAACUCCUGGUCUGGAGUUCGAGAGAGGUGAGUGGAAUUCCGAGUGUAGAGGUGAAAUUCGUAGAUAUUCGGAGGAACACCAGUGGCGAAGGCGACUUACUGGACUGUAACUGACGCUGAGGCGCGAAAGUGUGGGGAGCAAACAGGAUUAGAAACCCGAGUAGUCC